AUUGAACGCUGGCGGCAGGCCUAACACAUGCAAGUCGAACGGUAACAGGAAGCAGCUUGCUGCUUCGCUGACGAGUGGCGGACGGGUGAGUAAUGUCUGGGAAGCUGCCUGAUGGAGGGGGAUAACUACUGGAAACGGUAGCUAAUACCGCAUAAUGUCGCAAGACCAAAGAGGGGGACCUUCGGGCCUCUUGCCAUCGGAUGUGCCCAGAUGGGAUUAGCUUGUUGGUGGGGUAACGGCUCCCCAAGGCGACGAUCCCUAGCUGGUCUGAGAGGAUGACCAGCCACACUGGAACUGAGACACGGUCCAGACUCCUACGGGAGGCAGCAGUGGGGAAUAUUGCACAAUGGGCGCAAGCCUGAUGCAGCCAUGCCGCGUGUAUGAAGAAGGCCUUCGGGUUGUAAAGUACUUUCAGCGGGGAGGAAGGGAGUAAAGUUAAUACCUUUGCUCAUUGACGUUACCCGCAGAAGAAGCACCGGCUAACUCCGUG
rnacentral:rRNA from 1 species